rnacentral:rRNA from 1 species
AGUGAACGCUGGCGGUAGGCCUAACACAUGCAAGUCGAACGGCAGCACAGUAAGAGCUUGCUCUUACGGGUGGCGAGUGGCGGACGGGUGAGGAAUACAUCGGAAUCUACUUUUUCGUGGGGGAUAACGUAGGGAAACUUACGCUAAUACCGCAUACGACCUACGGGUGAAAGCAGGGGAUCUUCGGACCUUGCGCGAUUGAAUGAGCCGAUGUCGGAUUAGCUAGUUGGCGGGGUAAAGGCCCACCAAGGCGACGAUCCGUAGCUGGUCUGAGAGGAUGAUCAGCCACACUGGAACUGGGACACGGUCCAGACUCCUACGGGAGGCAGCAGUGGGGAAUAUUGGACAAUGGGCGCAAGCCUGAGCCAGCCAUACCGCGUGGGUGAAGAAGGCCUUCGGGUUUUAAAGUCCUUUUGUUGGGAAGGAAAAGCAGCAGGUUAAUACCCCGCUGUUCUGACGGUACCCAAAGAAUAAGCACCGGCUAACUUCGUG